GAAAAGUUAAUGCGGUGGGAGUAUCUUAUUUUAAAAUAUAUAAGUGAUUAGAUUAAUAAUUCCUUGUCAACCAUACUGACAUAAUUAAUAUUUAACAAAGGGUUCAAACAAUUCCUCCUAGUUAACUUCCCCCCCCAUUCAGUGGAUGAGUCCGAGUGAGCAGGAAGAGGAAAUGUUUUUUUUGUUCCAGCCGAAGUAGCGCUUGAGACACGGAGCAGAGAAUAGAUGAUCAAAUCAGAUUAAACAAAUACCUGUAGUGGUUACAAUCCUGCUGCUAGUUUCCAAAGGAAAAUUCUUGGCCAGAUCGUCGUCGUCAUCGUCUUCUUUGCCUCCUUCUUCCCUUUUGUCUGCUCUCUUCUACAUCCUUACUUCAUUCCUGGGUGUCCUCAGCGGUGGUGUGGAAUUCUACGAGACAUUGGAGUCUUCAGCCCAGCUUGCUCUGUUGUAGAGGAGCGUCUAGUCCUGGAGUGGCGAGCCAACCCCAUGAGCUUGCAAACAAGGAGAUACUGAAAUAGAAAGAGGGAAGAAAAGUGGUAGGACAAUUACAUUUUGCUUGCCCCACACCGAGUUUGAAGGAGACAGACAUUGUUGCGCUACACUUUAACGGUCAAAGGAUACAACACCGCAGUGGAUGGAUUUUCCCAGUAACUCACUGAACUGAACUUUUUGGUCAUUGUCCUUAUUAAUACUAUAGUGAUGGAUUUGUCAUUGAAGUCAUAGCUCUAGAAUGUGUUGUUGAGUUAUAUCAUUACUCUGAUCGUUACAGGUAAAAGAACAGUUUAAUGUGACUGGUGACACUAAGGUUUUAUGUGAUUCAUUUUCAUGUUAAUAUAUAUAUGCAAGUUUGUUAUUGGUAUUUGAUUUUGGGUUAUACAAGGAAAAGAGUACCAAAAUAUUCAGAGAAUCCGCUUGUUUAGUUAGAGGCACUAUAAAAUAGGAUCUAUAAACCCUAAUACAGAUGAAUAAAAAAAUAAUGAGUGCCUGACUAAUAAUGUGGAGCUAGUGUAGCAUUACAUCUUGAAUCUAAAUAAGGAUAUGUAAACAAACUAAGUACUCAAUUGACAAGUGGAUUCUUAACUAGAUUUAAUGGAAACAAAACCAAAGAAUUAUUGGAAGUGAGAGGGUGUUUAUGGUAAUUCUACAUAUGAUGUGGUGUUGCACCUGUGAUGUUUUGAGAAGAAUACUGUUCUAAGAAAAAAUACACAAGAAAACUGGGUGAAUGAGAGAUAGAGAGAAUUAAAGCUUUAUUUCCUUACCUCUUCAAAC